AGUAGCGGGCCUGAGAGGGUGGACCGGCACCAUUGGGACUGAGACACGGCCAAACUCCUACGGAAGGCAGCAG
rnacentral:rRNA from 1 species